GAAAUGCGAUACGUAGUGUGAAUUGCAGAAUUCCGUGAAUCAUCGAAUUUUUGAACGCAGAUUGCGGUGGCGGCCUCGGCCAACACCAUGUCUGCCUCAGCGUCGGGUUAAUAUCACUCUAUUACAUUACAAAUGUGAUGUAAUUGUUGUGGAUGUGGCCCUUCCACCUCUCAUCACGUAGGUGUGGAUUGGCUGAAGAACAGAGGCUGACUCGAGGACCUCUCCAAUGGUUAACCAUCAUUCUCGAUGGAUAAACAACGGAGGGCCGCAAUUGGGUAGGUGGGAUUAACUGCACAGUUGAUAUACAUUGCUUGAUUGUUGGCUUAUGGUUCAUCGAUGUCAUUCAUUAACCCAGGAAACAAGACCCUAUUUAUUUCCUCGACCUGAGCUCAGGCAAGAACACCCGCUGAACUUAAGC
rnacentral:misc_RNA from 1 species